rnacentral:tRNA from 1 species
GCUGUGGUGUCCGAGUGGUUAAGGAGAUGGACUCGAAAUCCAUUGGGCUCUGCCCGCACAGGUUCGAAUCCUGUCCGCAGCG